rnacentral:rRNA from 1 species
CACGUAGGGGGCAAGCGUUGUCCGGAUUUAUUGGGCGUAAAGAGCUCGUAGGUGGUUCGGUAAGUCGGGUGUUAAACCCCCAGGCUCAACCUGGGGACGCCACUCGAUACUGCUGUGACUAGAGUCCGGUAGGGGAGCGUGGAAUUCCUGGUGUAGCGGUGAAAUGCGCAGAUAUCAGGGGGAACACCAGCGGCGAAGGCGGCGCUCUGGGCCGGUACUGACGCUGAGGAGCGAAAGCGUGGGGAGCGAACAGG